UACGUAGGGUGCAAGCGUUAAUCGGAAUUACUGGGCGUAAAGCGUGCGCAGGCGGUGAUGUAAGACAGAUGUGAGAUCCCCGGGCUCAACCUGGGACCUGCAUUUGUGACUGCAUCGCUAGAGUACGGCAGAGGGGGAUGGAAUUCCGCGUGUAGCAGUGAAAUGCGUAGAUAUGCGGAGGGACACCGAUGGCGAAGGCAAUCCCCCUGGGCCUGUACUGACGCUCAUGCACGAAAGCGUGGGGAGCAAACAGG
rnacentral:rRNA from 1 species